rnacentral:rRNA from 1 species
AAGUCGGGUGUGAAAUCCCUCGGCCCAACCGAGGAACUGCGCCCGAAACUGCAUGUCUUGAGGACAGGAGGGGAGCGCGGAAUUCCUGGUGGAGCGGUGAAAUGCGUUGAUAUCAGGAGGAACACCGGCGGCGAAGGCGGCGCUCUGACCUGUUUCUGACGCUGAGGUGCGAAAGCCAGGGGAGCAAACGGGAUUAGAUACCCCGGUAGUCCUGGCCGUAAACGAU